CCCUCAUCAAAGAUGGCUGUGGGCAGCGCCGCUGGUCACUAGGCUCCUGCCGCUCGGUCCUCGCCGGACUUCGCGGCCGACAUGGCGGCCGCUGAGCUGGAGUACGAGUCCGUUCUCUGCGUGAAGCCCGAUGUCAACGUCUACCGCAUCCCGCCGCGCACCUCCAACCGCGGGUACAGGGCGUCUGACUGGAAACUGGACCAUCCAGACUGGACAGGGCGGCUUCGUGUCACCUCCAAAGGCAAAACCGCUUACAUAAAACUGGAGGAUAAGGUUUCAGGAGAACUUUUUGCCCAGGCUCCUAUAGAUCAAUACCCUGGCAUUGCAGUGGAGACUGUGGCAGAUUCCAGCCGCUACUUUGUCAUUCGAAUUCAGGAUGGGACCGGACGAAGUGCUUUUAUAGGCAUUGGCUUCACAGAUCGGGGUGAUGCUUUUGACUUCAACGUCUCUUUGCAGGAUCACUUCAAGUGGGUGAAGCAGGAGACUGAAAUCUCCAAGGAGUCCCAGGAAGCUGACACACGUCCCAAAUUAGACUUAGGGUUUAAGGAAGGGCAGACCAUCAAACUAAACAUUGGGAACAUGACAUCAAAGAAAGGAGGAGCAGCCAAGCCCCGUGUGUCUGGAUCAGGGGGCCUAAGCCUGCUGCCACCCCCACCGGGAGGCAAAAUUGCAGUUCCUCCCAUACCUCCCCCUUCCUCCACAGCCAUUGCCAACCAUGUCACACCACCACCUGUGCAGAAAUCCAGUAAUGCAAGCAGUGCAGAUAUUCUUUUAGAUUUAGAUGCUCCUGCAGCUGCAUCCAAGGCACCAGUAUCUGCUACCACAGACCUCUGGGGAGACUUCAGCACUGCAUCCAGUGCUGUUCCCAAUCAGGCUCCUCAGCAGUCCAACUGGGUCCAGUUCUGAAUGAUCAAAGCAGUGGAAUGGGACAAAUUGAUGACCUAGAGGCACCAAAUGGGAUCAGAGAGGGCACAAACCUCUCUAGUCUUCAAUCAAAUUGGGACAAUCCUUCAUUUUUAGAUCAGAUCUUCACUUAAACUUAGUAUUUUUGAUCCCACUGAACCUAAAGAGAACAUACAGACUCCUCCCAAGAUGGGCAAGGAGAAGAGAGGUAGCCUUAUCCCUCUAUCUACUUGCCAUUACAUGGUACAUCCUAGCUCUUUUUUCCUGUCUUUCCAUACAGGGAAAGCAAGAAUCUUGAAGAAAGUGGGUACAGGAGGAGGCUGGCAUCUAGGUUGAAGGUCUUCAUGUCUCCAGCAAGAUCCUCACAGCCUACUUACCCUUCUGCAUAUCUGUUGUGGCCUGCAGACUGAACAAGAGCAACUUCAGGAGUGAUGGGUUCAGGCUCUGUCUGGGCAAAGAGAGCCAUGCAGCAACUGUUCUUACCACAGCCACACAGACACAAACCUGCCAGAUUUCACAAAGCCUUGAUGCUGUGUUUGGACUCCUGAAGAAAUGGAGAGGAAGGGCUGUACAUUGGAGGAAAUCAAACAAAAACCAAACAGGAAACCAAAACCCCCAAAGUCUUCCUGAGCUUUGAUAAUGAGUCCCCCCAUUCCCCCUUCAAGAGAGGGAGAUCACAUGCAUUCACCUCACUGGGCAGAGAGUAGCCAAACAGAAUUCAAGGCUGUGGAGAUCUGUGCAAUCCUUAGAACUGGAAAUGAAGCAUGAAGAAUUGCUUCUGUGGAGAGGUGUUAUGUGACCACAACUUGUGCGUGUGAAUUCCACAUGCCCACUCUAAGAAGAUAAACUUCACAGCCCCACCUCUGAAAACAGGCCACUGGGGUCUGAGCAGGACUUGGAUCUGGCCCAGGCUUGAAGUCAAAUAUGAUGCUGUGGCAAGCAAUUGCAGUAUCUGGUUCUGAUCUCCAACAUAGCCUUGAGACUUAUGACUCCAAUCCAAAAGAGGAAGGAGACAAAAGUGCAAUGUUCCAGUAAUGGCAUAAAACAAAGCUCUGAGGUAAUUUCAUCUGAAUGUGCCCUCUGUUGGCUUUGAUUUGGUAAUCCGUUAAUUUGGGGAAAAUAAAUAAAUAAAACAUAUUUUUGCUCUUCUGAAGAAAAUCCUCUGUUAAUGCUACAUGUAAAGAGGCAGAUUGGGGCUUCUUGUCUCUUUGAAGAUUCUCUGGAUCAUGUUCUUCCUUCUCUUAUUCCUUCCCUUACACCUGAGGGAUUUUGGUAACCUGUCAUCAUGCUAGAGUGGGCACAUGACUUUCCCUUCGUAAUUCGCACUGAGUUUGAGCUCCCUCAGCUCAGGUAACUUUGGGACAUGAUCUCUUCUGCUUGAAAUCCUCAGCACUUACUAAAAUUUGGCAGAGAUAUGGCCAGGGGAGAAAUGUACAAGCUGUUUUGGGGAGGAACAUUUCUUUUUAUCACUCCUACUUUUGUUCCCCUGUGUUGUGCAUGGUACUGUAACCAUAGCAUUGUCUUUCUGCCAGCUCAGGCCUGCCUGUGGUGAGGUGCUGCCACCUGCCAGAAACUUGUGUGGUUUUACAGUGCUACUUCUGUUUCAUCCAUCCCACUUAUUGCUCUCACUCCCCUUUCCCACUGUCCAUUCAGUACUUCCCUUUUUCCUCUUCAUCCCUGGAUGCUCAAAUGUCUUUUUCCUGUGCUUUCACAGCUCCAUAGAAGCCAUUUUUUUCCUUGGUCUCUUAGCAACCUGUAUGGAACCCUGGUUCACCUUCUAUGAUUAGAGGGUUUGACUGGAGGUCUCUUCUCCCUGCAGCUCUGGCCUGUGUCAGCCUUGGCUGAGAAGGGCUUAGGGUGCCUUUCUCUCAGAUCCCAGGAGGCUGCUGUGCUCCCACACUAUCCCCUGGAGCAGUAUGAACUGCAGCAUCCUACCCCUCCCCUCCCUCCCUAACCAGUUCCAUGCAGCAGGGUACACAAUGGGAUCACCUGUUGCUAGACUCUCUCUAACCACUCAAAUCCCUCAGGAGCUCUCAAGGAGCUCUGGCUGCCUGAAUUCCUUUGAUUUGUUAUUUGACAUCCCUUAUUUUACUGCUCAGUGUCAGGCCUUGGGUCCUCAUUCUCUGUGUUCCAGUGCAUUUUUAUGCUCUUCCCUUGGCUGCUCUGCUCCAUAGCCUUAAUCCCUGAAAAGGAGCAAGGUGAUGUGGAGAGGGAGGACCAAGAAGGUGGCAUAUAUUCACUUCUGGUGCUCUUCUCACCCAGGUGCAGGGAUAUAAAGCAUGGAUUUGGUUUAGGCUUUUAUCUAAGUGAAUUGGAAGUCUGUGCUAGCUACAGGUGCCAUAAGAGUAGGUGAUGCCAAGACUGUAGGCAAAGACCCACAACAGGCAGGAUUUCUUUACAAGAGUUAUAUUGACUCUCCUCAAAGUCCAUCACACUUACACACAUGUCUAUCCAUUAAUUCUUUUGUUAUAUUAACCUGACCACUGGAGAUGUCAAACCUUUAACUUCCUAAAUCUCCCUGAGACUUCUCCCCUUCUCCUUCUUUGAUAUGUUCCCUCCCAGUCUGAGAUUUGCUGAUAAAAAGAUAGUUUAAGGCAAAAGGUGACCCCUGAUAUUAGCAACUGUUUCACCUUUGAAUUUCCUGAGAAUCCCUGGGACCAUCUUGCCCAGGCCUGCUAAUUGCAUGCAUUUUGUACAAUCAAUAUUUUAUUUUGGACAGAUCCUUUGAUUUAGUCCUCCACAAACCAGGGUUCUUGUGUGUGAAUUUCACCAAUUUAUUCCAUUGUGACAAAUAAUUAUUUUAGCUUUGUUUUGA